UACGAAGGGGGCGAGCGUUGUUCGGAUUUACUGGGCGUAAAGGGCGCGCAGGCGGCUCAUUUUGUCAGGCGUGAAAGCCCCGGGCUUAACCUGGGAACUGCGUUUGAUACGGAUGGGCUAGAGUUCGGGAGAGGAGAGUGGAAUUCCCAGUGUAGAGGUGAAAUGCGUAGAUAUCGGGAGGAACAUCGAUGGCGAAGGCAAUCACCUGGGCCUGAACUGACACUGUGACACGAAAGCGUGGGUAGCAAACAGG
rnacentral:rRNA from 1 species